rnacentral:rRNA from 1 species
AGAAAAAGAAAGUAGAGGACAAACUGCAAAAUUGCCCAAGUUAGCUUAGAAACAGCUAUCAACUUAAGAAAACGUAACAGUUCGGGCACCCAGCAGAGUCCAGAA